rnacentral:rRNA from 1 species
UUACCGAGUUUACAACUCCCAAACCCCUGUGAACAUACCUAUACGUUGCCUCGGCGGAUCAGCCCGCGCCCUGUAAAAAGGGACGGCCCGCCCGAGGACCCUAAACUCUGUUUUUAGUGGAACUUCUGAGUAAAACAAACAAAUAAAUCAAAACUUUCAACAACGGAUCUCUUGGUUCUGGCAUCGAUGAAGAACGCAGCAAAAUGCGAUAAGUAAUGUGAAUUGCAGAAUUCAGUGAAUCAUCGAAUCUUUGAACGCACAUUGCGCCCGCCAGUAUUCUGGCGGGCAUGCCUGUUCGAGCGUCAUUUCAACCCUCAAGCUCAGCUUGGUGUUGGGACUCGCGGUAACCCGCGUUCCCCAAAUCGAUUGGCGGUCACGUCGAGCUUCCAUAGCGUAGUAAUCAUACACCUCGUUACUGGUAAUCGUCGCGGCCACGCCGUAAAACCCCAACUUCUGAAUGUUGACCUCGGAUCAGGUAGGAAUACCCGCUGAACUUAAGCAUA